GUGUUUGAGAAUGUCAAAAGCACUGGAGUCAACAUUUCUGCAGUAACUGCUCCCGAAAAUGCAAACGGUUUGAAAUCAACCGGCCAAGAUGAGACAAGCAUCAAUCUGCAGUGGGAUAAAGUAGACAACAAUGUUAGCUUUGUUCUUCAGUUCAAUGGCAGACAGGAAAAUAUUACUUCACCAGAUGGAAAUGGAACAAUCUCUUACAUUGUGACCAACCUGGAUCCUCAAACAAAAUACACAUUUUUCCUCUUCUCUGUGUUUGAGAAUGUCAAAAGCACUGGAGUCAACAUUUCUGCAGUAACUGGUAAGUUACGUCCGUCAUGUCAUUCAUCAUGUCUACUGAAACCCAGUUUUAGAAAUUAACGUCAAAUCAAAAUGUACACAAUUUAGUGUUACAAUUUUCUUAUUCCUUGCUUUUGUUCUCAGCUCCCGAAAAUGCAAACAGUUUGAAAUCAACUGGUCAAAAUGAGACGAGCAUUAAUCUGCAGUGGGAUAAAGUAGACAACAAUGUUAGCUUUGUUCUUCAGUUCAAUGGCAGACAGGAAAAUAUUACUUCACCAGAUGGAAAUGGAACAAUCUCUUACAUUGUGACCAACCUGGAUCCUCAAACAAAAUACACAUUUUUCCUCUUCUCUGUGUUUGAGAAUGUCAAAAGCACUGGAGUCAACAUUUCUGCAGUAACUGCUCCCGAAAAUGCAAACAGUUUGAAAUCAACCGGACAAAAUGAGACAAGCAUCAAUCUGCAGUGGGAUAAAGUAGACAACAAUGUUGGCU